AUUGAACGCUGGCGGAAUGCUUUACACAUGCAAGUCGAACGGCAGCACGGACUUCGGUCUGGUGGCGAGUGGCGAACGGGUGAGUAAUGUAUCGGAACGUGCCCAGUCGUGGGGGAUAACGUAGUGAAAAUUACGCCAAUACCGCAUACGAUCUAUGGAUGAAAGUGGAGGAUCCCAAGACCUCGCGCGAUUGGAGCGGCCGAUACCAGAUUAGGUAGUUGGUGGGGUAAAGGCCCACCAAGCCAACGAUCUGUAGCUGGUCUGAGAGGACGCCCGGCCACACUGGAGAUGGGACAGGGUCCAGACUCCUACGGGAGGCAGCAGUGGAGAAUUUUGGACAAUGGGCGAAAGCCUAGUCCAGCCAGUCCGCGUGAAGAAUGAAGGCCCUCGGGUUGUAAACUGCUUUUGUACAGAACGAAAAGGUUUCUACUAAUACUAGGAGCUCAUGACGGUACUGUAAGAAUAAGCACCGGCUAACUACGUGCCAGCAGCCGCCGUAA
rnacentral:rRNA from 1 species